UGAUUUUCGGCAAAAAUGGGGGAUUAUUGAAGAGAAAACACAUGAUUUUCACUUAAACAAGGGAUUCUCGAAGAGAAAGCUCGUGAUUUUUGGGUGAAAUGGAAGAUUUCGGAAGAGAAAACGCAUGAUUUUCACAUAAAUGGGGGAUUUGCAAAUGGAAAGUGCGUGAUUUUAGGGUUAAAUGGGGGAUUUUUGAAGAGAAAACGCAUGAAUUUCGCUUAAAUGGGGGAAUCGCAAAGUCCUAACACAUGAUUUUCGGGUUAAAUGGGGAUUCUCGAAGUGAAAGCACGAGAUUUUCAACUUAAGUGGGGGAUUUGCGAAGAGAAAAUGCGUGAUUUUCGCUUAAAUGGGGGAUUCUCAAAGAGAAAACGCGUGACUUUCGCUUAGAUGGGGGAUUUGCGAAGAGAAAAUGCGUGACUUUCGCUUAAAUGGGGGAUUUGCGAAGAGAAAAUGCGUGAUUUUCGCUUAAAUGGGGGAUUUGCGAAGAGAAAACACGUGUUUUUUGCUUAAAUGGGGGAUUCUGUAAGAGAAAACACGUGUUUUUUGCUUAAAUGGGGGAUUCUCGAAGAGAAAACGCGUGAUUUUCGGGUUAAAUGGGGGUUUUCCGAAAAGAAAACGCGUGAUUUUUGCUUAAAUGGGGGAUUCUCAAAGAGAAAGCACGUGAUUUUUGUGUUAAAUGGGGGAUUUUAGAAGAAAAAACAUAUGAUUUUUGCUUAAAUGGGGGAUUCUCAAAGAGAAAGCGCGUGAUUUUCGCUUAAAUGGGGGAUUUUGGAAGAAAAAACGUAUGAUUUUUGCUUACAUGGGGGAUUCUUGAAGAGAAAACACACGGUUUUCGCUUAAAUGUGGGAUUCUCAAAGACAAAAUGCGUGGUCUUCGGGUUAAAUGGGGGAUUUUCAAAGAAAAAAUGUAUUAUUUUCGCUUAAAAGGGGGAUUCUCGAAGAGGAAGCGCGUGAUUUUUGCUUAAA
ensembl:lncRNA